UACGUAGGGUGCGAGCGUUGUCCGGAAUUACUGGGCGUAAAGAGCUCGUAGGCGGUUUGUCGCGUCUGCUGUGAAAACGCAAGGCUUAACCUUGCGCCUGCAGUGGGUACGGGCAGACUAGAGUGCAGUAGGGGAGACUGGAAUUCCUGGUGUAGCGGAGGAAUGCGCAGAUAUCAGGAGAAACACCGAUGGCGAAGGCAGGUCUCUGGGCUGUUACUGACGCUGAGGAGCGAAAGCAUGGGGAUCGAACAGGA
rnacentral:rRNA from 1 species